rnacentral:lncRNA from 1 species
CGUCACCUACUUCGUUCAACACGCUUUCCUAGCAACCAUUUAAAUUCAAUACAUUUAAUGAAUCAAUUCUACUUUUCUCUCUCUCAUUCUAUCAUAAAUCCACUCACCUAAUUCAUAUCUUAAUAUAUUUUUACUAUAAUUAAUUGCAUCCUUCGUUCACAUAAUUCUUUAGAGUAUUAACACCGGUAACUUAUUUAUGGUAUUAAGUGCCUAUUUCAACCUUCUAAGCAACUUAAAUUUACUUCAUAUCACUAACUAACCAAUGCAUAAUUAAAUAAAAUAAACUAGCCUCCAUAUAGUCCAAUUUCACAAUAAAUCAUGGAGAAGAGUAAAGAAUUUUACCCAAUUAAGCUAGGUUGGCCCAAAUCUCCACAUUCCUUUUCUUUUCAAUUUUUUUCUUCCUUUGUUGUUUUUGGACUCUUAUUCAUGGACUUCUCCCAUUUCUUUUUAAUUAGGUCAUGCCCAUUCUUCCUUUAUUAGGCCAUGUCCAAUUUUCUAUCUUGUUAUUUUCUUUUCCUUUCUUUUCUUUUCUUUUCUUUUCUUUUCUUUCUUUCUUUCUCUCCCACCGUCCAACAGCCCUUGUUGUCUUCCUUUUUCUUCUCUUCACAUGCACAAACCGUCCCACUCUCUUCCUUUCUCUCCCUCUCACCACCGGUCACCCUUUCUUGCCUUUCAACU